GACGAACGCUGGCGGCGUGCUUAACACAUGCAAGUCGAACGGGAUCCAAAGGCUUUUUGUUUUUGGUGAGAGUGGCGAACGGGUGAGUAACACGUGAGUAACCUGCCCCCUUCUUUUGGAUAACCGCAUGAAAGUGUGGCUAAUACAGGAUAUUCCAGGCUGGUCGCAUGAUUGGUUUGGGAAAUGGUUUGGUCUGGUGGGGGAUGGGCUCGCGGCCUAUCAGCUUGUUGGUGGGGUGAUGGCCUACCAAGGCGGUGACGGGUAGCCGGCCUGAGAGGGUGGGAGGGAAAGUGGGGAUGGAGUCACGGCACAGACUCAUGCGGGAGGAGGGAGGGGGGGUUUUGGCAAGAGGGGCGCAAGCCGAAUGCAGCGGCGCGGGGUGAGGGAGGAAGGCCUGGGGGUUUUAACCCUUUUUGGCGGGGUAAAAGGCCCUUGUUUUGGGUGGUUUUGAUUUGAACUGAUAAGAAAGUACCGGCUAACUCCGUC
rnacentral:rRNA from 1 species